rnacentral:rRNA from 1 species
UACAGAGGUCUCAAGCGUUGUUCGCAUUCAUUGGGCGUAAAGGGUGCGUAGGCGGCGCGGUAAGUCGGGUGUGAAAUCUCGGAGCUUAACUCCGAAACUGCAUUCGAUACUGCCGUGCUUGAGGACUGGAGAGGAGACUGGAAUUUACGGUGUAGCGGUGAAAUGCGUAGAUAUCGUAAGGAAGACCAGUGGCGAAGGCGGGUCUCUGGACAGUUCCUGACGCUGAGGCACGAAGGUCAGGGGAGCAAACGGG